UAGGGAAUCUUCCGCAAUGGACGCAAGUCUGACGGAGCAACGCCGCGUGAGUGAAGAAGGAUUUCGGUUCGUAAAACUCUGUUGUUAGAGAAGAACAGCGCAUAGAGUAACUGUUAUGCGUGUGACGGUAUCUAACCAGAAAGCCACGGCUAACUACGUGCCAGCAGCCGCGGUAAUACGUAGGUGGCAAGCGUUGUCCGGAUUUAUUGGGCGUAAAGCGAGCGCAGGCGGUUAGAAAAGUCUGAAGUGAAAGGCAGUGGCUCAACCAUUGUAGGCUUUGGAAACUGUUUAACUUGAGUGCAGAAGGGGAGAGUGGAAUUCCAUGUGUAGCGGUGAAAUGCGUAGAUAUAUGGAGGAACACCGGUGGCGAAAGCGGCUCUCUGGUCUGUAACUGACGCGGAGGCUCGAAAGCGUGGGGAGCGAACAGG
rnacentral:rRNA from 1 species